AUGGUGGUCUAUGCCAAGCAAAGCAAAGGAGCAGGCCAGAAACGGCCAGAAUAUGGCAGAGAAGAUGCAGCGCCAAUUGCAUGCCCACGGGAUGUGCUUGCAUCACUUGGUGGCCAGUCAAAAAGUAUGUUCUGUACACUGCCUCUUAGGCAAGAAGCGAGCAUCAGCGGUGGCUCGCGGUUAUCAAGAAAAUUGUACGCAGGGGAAGAGGCUUCUUCGGCACCUGCGUCGCCUUCGAAAGUACUGGAGGAAAGGACACUGUCAUCUAGAUCAUUGUUGCUUCAACCGGAGUUGCACCCGUAUCCGGAGAAAAUUCUUCGAACGAUUGACCCGGAAAAGGUGAAAUGGAGUGGGCGACGGUGUCUAAGCGCCAAGGAACCGGCGGAUUUUGAGGAUGCGAACACGAAGGAGUGUUAG
rnacentral:rRNA from 1 species